rnacentral:rRNA from 1 species
UACAUGGGGUGCAAACGUUGCUCGGAAUUAUUGGGCCUAAAGCAUCCGUAGCCGGUUCUGCAAGUCCCCCGUUAAAUCCAGCUGCUCAACAGAUGGGCCGCGGAGGAUACUACAGAGCUAGGAGGCAGGAGAGGCAAGCGGUACUCAGUGGGUAGGGGUAAAAUCCGUUGAUCCAGUGAAGACCACCAGUGGCGAAGGCGGCUUGCCAGAAUGCGCUCGACGGUGAGGGAUGAAAGCUGGGGGAGCAAACCGG